rnacentral:lncRNA from 1 species
AAAACACAGGUUUCCAGACAGUACUUGCCUCCACUCAGCAAAAUCACACAGCAAAACCACAAUUGUAUUUGCUUCUACUCGCGCAGAGAGAAGCAUCAAGUGAAAUAGUCAAAGUGUUAGACGUAUCGGGUGUGACCAGCAAAAGUUGACCUAAGACAACAGUUCGAAACGUUCUACACUUAUACGGUUUUGUAUAGACUAGUGUUAGCGUUGUAUCACGAAGACAUUGUACCUUAGUUGAGA